rnacentral:misc_RNA from 1 species
AACCUAGCACACCUGCGGUGUGUACCUGCGGAAGGAUCAUUACCUAUUUGGCCUUUGUGGCUACGCUCGGGGGGCCUUUGGUCCCCGUCUGCACCCUUGUCUUUGCGCACUCAUGUUUCCUCGGUGGGCUUGCCUGCCGCUAGGACAACCUAAACUCUUGAAUUUUCAAUCAGCGUCUGAUAACAAUAAUAUUUACAACUUUUAACAACGGAUCU